rnacentral:tRNA from 1 species
AGCAGAAUGGCGCAGUGGAAUCGUGCUGGGCCCAUAACCCAGAGGUCCGUGAAUCGAAACAAUGCUCUGCUU